AACCCCGUGGCUGAGUGGUGAGGCAGAGGGCUGCAAAUCCUUUUACGCCGGUUCGAAUCCGGCCGGGG
rnacentral:tRNA from 1 species